rnacentral:SRP_RNA from 1 species
GUACCGGCCCUCCGCGACGGCACGCCGUGAACCCCGUCAGGCCCGGAAGGGAGCAGCGGCAGCGGUUACGCCGGGUGCCGGAGUUCGCUGGUGCGGG